UGCUUCAUCAGCUGAAGGACUAUAUGAGGGUGGUUCUCUGGCUUUUCUACGCCUGAGUGUUUUUGCCUACUGUGGUAGUGUUUACCUGGCCAGCAUCUUCUGAAUUCUGGAAGCUCCACUUGUUUUUUUUUUAGCCUUGAUUAACUAUCUGUCUCUUCCCUUCGUCAUAGGCUGUUCACGCCAAGCUGGGUUUCCCCCUCCUGAACUCACCUCCUGUCAAGAUUGGAAUCUGCUGCAUCUGGCAACUGCCCUUGCGAGUCCUCCAGCUGAAAGCGCAACCAGUCCACCCACCUUGCUACCUGGAACAUCAGAGCGCUCCAACCAUUUCCGCGCAGGCUCACACCCCAGACUUGAACCGGCUCUUUCCCCCUGGCGGAUCGAUCGCCUCCCAAAAACCUGACUCCUGAUCACUCGGCUCACCUCGUUCCUGAGACUAAAAAGAAAUAAAAACUAUAAAUUUAUUCUUCUCUGUCUGUGUGUCCUCUGCAUGUGGGUCAAGUCGGCCUUAAAAACUAUGACGGUGGGACUGUCCAUUUUAAAAGAACUGUCAAUUGUCACACCAGGGUUUUUCACAGAGGAUUUCAUAGAAGGAGCCAGGAAGCCAAAAAGGAUCAGGGUAAUUUUUUAAUCAGUUUGUCUUAAUAAAAUAAUCUCAGUUUUGUUCUCAUUUAAGUUAAGAACAUUUAAGUUCAGUAAUGGUUUUAAGUCAUCUAAGCUAUUUAAUAAAGGCUACAGUGAUUUGUUAAGUCCUAUUUUUAAGGACAGAUAGAUUUGUAAUCUGCAUAGCAGUGUAAUGAUGUAAUGUUUGGUAAUGAUGGAAGCCAAAGGUAACACAUCCAGUGAAAACAGGGCCCAGGAUAGACCCUUGAGGGACUCCACUGGCAAGUAGAGUUGCAGCCAGAGAGUAUCCUGUCACUUUUCACAAGUGAUUUGGUUGUUGUUUUUGCUUACAUUUUGAUAAAUUUCUCGUAAUCAGCCCUUUUAUCUGGACUGAUGUUAGUUGCCAUUUUAGGUCAAGUCCUACUAUUUCAUGGUUUUGUGAUUAUCGUAGUUUUACUUUGUAUCUCUGUCCAGCUCACUGAAGUUUACUUGUUUCCCACUCUCAGCAGCAGCCACAAUGCAAUCCAGCUCAUUCAGCCCACCCAUCCCUGCUCAUCACACUCAUGCCACUCAGCCACUUCCACUGCUUUAUAGCAUCUGUUGGUCAUUGUUUCUCUGCUGGAUUGCUCCGUUUCUGUUCUAUUGCUAUGUCUGUUUCAUUGCCUGAUUUUUGCCUAUGCUGCUUGUGCAGAUCUUAUCAUGUCAAGUAUUUGCCUUUUUUUGUUUGCACACUUCAUGUUCUGUUUUUAUUGUGCCAUGCUGUGAGUUUUUUGCCUCUUCAUUUUUAUUAAAAUUCUUCCAAUCAC